rnacentral:rRNA from 1 species
UACGUAGGGGGCAAGCGUUGUCCGGAAUCAUUGGGCGUAAAGAGCGUGUAGGCGGCCCGAUAAGUCCGCUGUGAAAGUCCAGGGCUCAACCCUGGAAUGCCGGUGGAUACUGUCGGGCUCGAAUCCGGAAGAGGUGAGUGGAAUUCCCGGUGUAGCGGUGAAAUGCGUAGAGAUCGGGAGGAACACCAGAGGCGAAGGCGGCGACCUGGACAGAUACUGACACUCAACUACGAAAGCGUGGGGAGCAAACAGG